UCUACGGGAGGCAGCAGUGAGGAAUAUUGGUCAAUGGACGCAAGUCUGAACCAGCCAUGCCGCGUACAGGAAGACGGCUCUAUGAGUUGUAAACUGCUUUUGUACGAGGGUAAAUCCCGAUACGUGUAUCGGUUUGAAAGUAUCGUACGAAUAAGGCUCGGCUACCUCCGUGCCAGCAGCCGCGGUACUACGGAGGAUUCAAGCGUUAUCCGGAUUUAUUGGGUUUAAAGGGUUGGUAGGCGGUUCGAUAAGUUAGAUGUGAAGUCCCGGGGCUCAACUCCGGCACUGCCCGUGAUACUGUCGGGCUAGAGUUUAGUUGCGGUAGGCGGAAUGUAUGGUGUAGCGGUGAAAUGCAUAGAGAUCAUACAGAACACCGAUUGCGAAGGCAGCUUACUAAACUACGACUGACGUUGAGGCACGAAAGCGUGGGGAGCAAACAGGAUUAGAUACCCCUGUAGUC
rnacentral:rRNA from 1 species